rnacentral:rRNA from 1 species
UACGUAGGUGGCAAGCGUUGUCCGGAUUUACUGGGCGUAAAGGGCGUGCAGGCGGUCUGUUAAGUCUAGGGUGAAAGCUCCCGGCUCAACUGGGAGAGGUCCUUGGAUACUGGCGGACUUGAGGGAGGUAGAGGGUAGUGGAAUUCCCGGUGUAGCAGUGAAAUGCGUAGAGAUCGGGAGGAACACCAGUGGCGAAGGCGGCUACCUGGACCAGCACUGACACUGAAGCACGAAAGCGUGGGGAGCAAACAGG